rnacentral:rRNA from 1 species
AGGCCUGCGGGUUGUAAAGCACUUUCAAUUGGGAAGAAAAGCGAUCGGUUAAUACCCGGUUGUCUUGACGUUACCUUUACAAGAAGCACCGGCUAACUCCGUGCCAGCAGCCGCGGUAAUACGGAGGGUGCGAGCGUUAAUCGGAAUUACUGGGCGUAAAGCGCGCGUAGGCGGUCAGGUCAGUCGGAUGUGAAAGCCCUGAGCUCAACUUGGGAAUUGCAUUCGAAACUGCCUGGCUAGAGUAUGGGAGAGGGAAGCGGAAUUUCCGGUGUAGCGGUGAAAUGCGUAGAUAUCGGAAGGAACAUCAGUGGCGAAGGCGGCUUCCUGGACCAAUACUGACGCUGAGGUGCGAAAGCGUGGGGAGCGAACAGGAUUAGAUACCCUGGUAGUCCACGCCGUAAACGAUGAGAACUAGAUGUUGGGAGGAUCUGCCUCUCAGUGUCGCAGCUAACGCGUUAAGUUCUCCGCCUGGGGAGUACGCCGGCAACGGUAAAACUCAAAGGAAUUGACGGGGACCCGCACAAGCGGUGGAGCAUGUGGUUUAAUUCGAUGCAACGCGAAGAACCUUACCUGGCCUUGACAUCCUCGGAACUUGUCAGAGAUGACUUGGUGCCUUCGGGAACCGAGUGACAGGUGCUGCAUGGCUGUCGUCAGCUCGUGUCGUGAGAUGUUGGGUUAAGUCCCGCAACGAGCGCAACCCUUGUCCCUAGUUGCCAGCAC